UGUGUGUGUGUGUGUGUGUGUGUGUGUGUGUGUGUGUGUGUGUGUGUGUGUGUGUGUGUGUGUGUGUGUGUGUGUGUGUGUGUGUGUGUUUUGCCGUUCGCCUCAUUUACACACACCCUUCUGAAAAAUGACCAUCUAUGAGGUCAAAAUGACAAAAUGACCCACGGCGGGACAAACCAGAGGUACCUCUUGAUAAAGUUGGAUCAAGACGUGAACUCAGCACCAGGACACAACUAUCGAGAGAGGUGCUGGACUCCAUCCACACCAUCGCAGAAAGUGAAGAUUGACGUCGUGUGUCUUACAGUGAGCCUGGAAGAUUUUCGGACCGACCUUAACAGGUGGUUUAAUAUCAGAGGGGUUUCAAUAAAGAGGACCAUUAAUAAUUCUGAUUAAAACAUGUAGCACCGGUUUACUCCUUCCAUGGUGCAGGUAUGAAGAUGAUAAAUCAC